rnacentral:rRNA from 1 species
UACAGAGGGUGCAAGCGUUGUUCGGAAUUACUGGGCGUAAAGGGCGCGUAGGCGGCUUGGCAAGUCAGACGUGAAAUCCCGGGGCUUAACUCCGGAAGUGCGUUUGAAACUGCCUCGCUAGAGUACAGUAGAGGUUGGUGGAAUACCUAGUGUAGAGGUGAAAUUCGUAGAUAUUAGGUGGAACACCGGUGGCGAAGGCGGCAUCCUGGACCAAUAUUGACGCUGAGGAGCGAAAGCCAGGGGAGCAAACGGG